CAGUAGCCGCGGGAAUACGGAGGGAGCUAGCGUUGUUCGGAAUUACUGGGCGUAAAGCGCGCGUAGGCGGUUACUCAAGUCAGAGGUGAAAGCCCGGGGCUCAACCCCGGAACUGCCUUUGAAACUAGGUAACUAGAAUCUUGGAGAGGUCAGUGGAAUUCCGAGUGUAGAGGUGAAAUUCGUAGAUAUUCGGAAGAACACCAGUGGCGAAGGCGGCUCACUGGACGACUGUUGACGCUGAGGUACGAAAGCGUGGGGAGCAAACAGGAUUAGAUACCCCGGUAGUCCCUGUCUCUUAUAC
rnacentral:rRNA from 1 species